UACGUAAGUGGCGAGCGUUAUCCGGAUUCAUUGGGCGUAAAGAGCACGCAGGCGGUUUGGCAAGUCGGAUGUGAAAACCCGAAGCUCAACUUCGGGCCUGCAUCCGAAACUGCCCGACUAGAGGUAGGUAGGGGAGAUCGGAAUUCCUGGUGUAGCGGUGAAAUGCGCAGAUAUCAGGAGGAACACCGGUGGCGAAGGCGGAUCUCUGGGCCUUACCUGACGCUCAGGUGCGAAAGCUAGGGGAGCGAACAGG
rnacentral:rRNA from 1 species